UAGGGAAUCUUCCGCAAUGGGCGAAAGCUUGACGGAGCAACGCCGCGUGAGUGAUGAAGGUCUUCGGAUCGUAAAACUCUGUUAUUAGGGAAGAACAAAUGUGUAAGUAACUAUGCACGUCUUGACGGUACCUAAUCAGAAAGCCACGGCUAACUACGUGCCAGCAGCCGCGGUAAUACGUUGGUGGCAAGCGUUAUCCGGAAUUAUUGGGCGUAAAGCGCGCGUAGGCGGUUUUUUAAGUCUGAUGUGAAAGCCCACGGCUCAACCGUGGAAGGUAAUUGGAAACUGGAAAACUUGAGUGCAGAAGAGGAAAGUGGAAUUCCAUGUGUGGCGGUGAAAUGCGCAGAGAUAUGGGGGAACACCAGUGGCGAAGGCGACUUUCUGGUCUGUAACUGACGCUGAUGUGCGAAAGCAUGGGGAUCAAACAGG
rnacentral:rRNA from 1 species